CACCCAAUCACUGUUUUGUGGGAUGAAUGAAUGAGUGAGUGAGAGAUGACCAGGAAUGACUGCAUGCCGGCAGCUGGAGAAGGAGCCUCAGUGGCCUGUGCCUUUGGAAGUUCUACCCAACGGCCCAGGAUUACUCAGCCUGCUUUGCUGCCAAGAUUAUCUGGAGCUGACACCGAGACCUGUGAUGGACUUGCAAAUGGCCCCGAGGCUUCCAGACUCCAGGCAGUGAGGCAGUGUGGAGGGCAUAGGCCCCCUUCCUCCCACUGCACAUGCAAGUGAGUGAGUGCUGAGAACUAGAGCAAUGGGCACCGAUUAGACCGCUUCCAGCCAGGCAUGACCGGACCUGUCUCAGGAGGUGCUGCUGACGGGCGCGUGGAUCACGAGUGGUACCGGUUUUGCUAAGGCCUCCCCCUCUUUCCUGUGAGCUUCUGCAAGGUCUGCAGCAAAUACCUCACAAGCGUUGGGGAAAAAGGAUGUAUGUUCCCUGCCUCUGAAGAAACAGACAGCCAUCCGUCGGCCCUUUAAGAUAUACAUGCACCAGAGAGAGGAAGCUAAAUCUGGCUCAGACCUCUUGAGACUUACGAAUCAGUUUCUCAGCUGUGCUUUCUUCCCAAAUUGAGAGGAUCGGGGCAUAGCAAAUAACGCCAAGAUGAGGACACCGAGGCCCAGAGAGGUGUCCUGCCAAAGCCACACAGCACAGAGGAGCAGAGCCCGGGUCCAGCUAUUUCUCCUAUCUCACCACGCUGCCUCUUCUCACUGGAAGAGUGUACCAACGCGGGAGUCUGGCCCCUACCCAUCCCAAGCCUGAUCCCUACCUAAGAGCGUCUCCACCAGCAGCUCCAGGAGGGAUGAUAAAUUGUCAAAAGCCACCAAGAGUCAGGGACAGGAACUCAGUUCUGCCCAGCUGAGGGCUGUGCAGGGAUUUCAAGGUACCUGUGCGAACCCCAGCCCUCACUCAUUGAACUCAGUCAGAAAACCACCGCGUCAGUGGAUUUAGAAAUGUGACAGGGAUUUCAGAGGGCAAUGGGUCCAGCCCUCACAACCCAGCACCACUCUGCAGGCAUGGAAACGCAGGCCCAGAGGACAGGGGCUUCUCAAUAUGGGCACACAGCACCAAGACAGCUCCAUAAAUAGAAGUGAAAUAUCCAAGCUCCCACUCCAGGGAAGCUGACCACUGGGUGGAUGACUCCCCCAGCGUCCAAACCCUCUCUGGCAGUCCCUUGCUGCUCCAGGAGCGAGGAUGAAAGGGAGAGCUCUUCCCAGGGCCUCCGGGGAGACACUUCUGCUGACUGUCCCCAAGGAGAAAGAGGGGAGAGAAAUGAGGGAGGGUCCCUGAAGAAUGGAGACCUUCAAGAAGGAGGCCAACCUCGGGGACCAGUGGAAGCCAGAAAGAGCACGGGGGCAUGGCAGGGGCUGAAGCCGAUGUCCCAGGGAAGGAGUAGCUGCAAGGCCCCUCAGCCUCAGAGGAGCGCCAGCCCCGCCCUGCCAUUCUGGACAAGGCAUGAGUGUGAAGAGACUCUUGCCUGUCCACACUAUCAAGGCUGAGCGGGGGCAAAGGCAGCCCCCUGGGGGUCCCCACCCUGCUACUGGACUUUAAAACCAUUUUCUUUGGUUUUAAAGAAACAAUUUUUCUUUGGUCAUGAUUUUGUUGGUAGAUUUAUCUUUAUGGAAUUGUAGUAUUUUCUUGCUCUAAAACCCUCAGUUUAACCCCUUCUUUUUUCUGUCUCACAUUUUUGCCUCCAGCGAUAUGAAAAUGAACCUUGGAGAAUGGGAGGGUCCUGGGGGAGGGGGGCUGAGGGGCUCUUCACCAGGCAGAGAUGAACCCCAGUGCUGACACAAGCCCUUUCCUUUUCCUGGUUUCUCUUGCCCUGGAGAGUGACAGGCAGAAAGGGCUUUUUGUCUCUUUGGACCAUUUCUGUAUCCCUGCUGCCUCAAACGAAGCCUGGCCUGGGGCGAACUCAAUCAAUGACUCUGACGGGAGACAGGGCUCCGGCCCACUGGGGUGAUGGGCUAAAGAGGGGAUUCUGGUUCCUGUGGACAAUCUGGAAGCUGGAAGCUGUUAGAACUGGAGCGAGGAUUUCACCAAGGAGCUCACAGAGAGAGCCCGGGCAGGAACUCUCCAAUCAUCUGGCGGCUGAGGCCCUUUCGCUGGAGGAGGAAAUGGGCCACACCGAUGGGGGUGUCCGGGAUGAAGCCGCGUGAGAUCAGGAACUGGAUGCCCUUGUCGGGGUUUCUGGAGGUGGGGGUGGGGAGAAGCAGUAGAGAGUGAGCUGAAGCCAUCCAUGACUCUUUCCUCCCUGUCUUCCACCCAUAGAAGUACCCAGAGGUUCUUGGAAAUCCAGUUCCCCAUUGAAGCUUCUCUCACCAGAGCCUCAACCCACUGAAUGUCCUCACGCAGAGGAUGGUGUGUGACCAGAAGGAGGACAGGGGAGAUCUGCAAACAAAGUCCCCACCGCAGACGCCCCAACCCUGGAGAGAGGGUGGGAGAAACAGAGGUGAGACCUCCGCCACACCACCUCUUCCCUUUGCAAGCUUUGAAGCCAUGCUGCUCCCUGAGCUGUUCCUCACAGGUCCGGGAGGAGAUAAGUACAGAAACACAAGGUCUGCCGAGUACUAGCUAUUUCAUCGUGUGCAUUUCGCCUUACUGGUGUGAGCCGGCUUCUUUUCUGUAAAACAGCAUGGUAAUACCUCUGUGUAGAUACUGCUGGAAGAUUACAGAUGCUUUAUGUAAGGGAGCACAUGGUCUUGAGGCUCCACGUGCUGAGCGCGUCGUCGAUGGACUUGGCCAGGGAUUGCACCUGCUCGGUGAAGGAGUCCUCCAGCUCGGCUCUCGGCCGUGGGUGACCGCACCUUGCGCAGGGAGAUCCGCCGUGGCAGGCGGCUCUCCAGAAGCGAGUUGCGGAUUUUCUCGAAGUUCUUGCUGAGCUGGUAUUGGCGGAAGGCGGUUUGGAUGGUGCAAGCGGCGCGCCGGGACACCAGGUGACCGCCGUACUUAUGUUCUAGCAUUUCAAUCUGCAAGGACGAGGACAGAGAGGAGGAAGGGCUCAGAGGGGAAGGGUGGUCAGCCCUUCUGAGGAGUGGUGGAGUCACCCGGCCACACUCGGGUGGGGCCCAGGAAUGGACGGGGGCGGGGGGGCGCUCCUGGGCAGCUAAAGUCUGAACCGCCUAGAACGUCCUGGCCACGUGGCAAGACUCCUAGAGGUGUAGGACGGAGGGGUCCGUUCUGGGGACUAGUGAUGUCUCAAGGGCCAGGAGGGAGGUGCUGCAUAUGGCGUUCAGAUAUCGAUGCUGUGGCGGGUAUUACAAAAUGUUCAUGGCCGGGCGCAUUAGCUCAGGCCUGCAGUCCUAGCAUCUUGGGAGGCUAAGGAGAGAAGAUUGCUUGAGCUCAGGAGUUUGCGACCAGGCUGGGCAACAUAGCUAGACCUUGUCUCUCUCUUGAAAAAAAAAAAAAAAUUAACUGGGUGUCCUGGUGCGCGCACGCCUGUGGUCCUCAGCUACUGGGAAGGCUGAGGUGGGAGGACUGCUUGAGCCCAAGGAGUUGGAGAUUACAGUGAGCUAUGAUUGUACCACAGCACUCCAGCCUGGGCAAAACAGUGAGACCUUGUCUCUGUUUUUUUCUUUUCUUUUCUUCUUUUUUUUUUUUUUUUUAAGUUCAUGUCAGAGAUGCAUACAGAAGUACUUAUGGGUAAAAUGCAUGAUAUCUUGAAGUUGUGUUAAAAUAUUCUGUCAAAAAAUGUGGAAGAGUUAGAUGACACAAUAUUAAUGUUAAUAAAUAUUAAUAAAAUGGUUACAGCUGGAUGAUAGCUACGGGGGAGUUUAUAACACUGUCGUUUCUACUUUUGUGCACACUUUAAAACAAUAAACAAUGAAAAACAGAAAUGCUAAAAAACCUCACAGCUCCUCGUGCUUCCCCGCUCCUCCCCUAAACAAUGAAAAACAUAAAUGCUAAAAACCCUCACAGCUCCUCGUGCUUCCCUGCUCCUCCCCAGCAACCAUGUCUCUGUGUUGGGGUGGCUCCUUUCCCUGGGAACAUCAGAAGGGUCGGGAUUGGGGUUGGACCAUCUGUGUGUUCCCAGUACAUAGUUAGCUGCUCAGUAAACGUGGAU
rnacentral:lncRNA from 10 species